UGAACGCCGCGGUAGCCUCUUCCAGCGCAAUGGCCUCUUCCCUCCCUUCUGCUCAAAUUAAGAGGGGGGAAGGGGACGUUGGCAAAUUAGAGCCUGACAGAAGGUUCGUUAGCGUCGUGCUUGUCAUCUCGUCGAGCCCCUCCUUCAGUGCUUGAUCAAAUCACGCGGGUUUGCGAGCUGCUCGACGGAAUUCGCCACAGGAGUAGGAAGUGGAAAGAAGAAAAGGAUCAGAAGAAGCCAUCGACGGGGGACGGGGGAGAGGUUUGAUGUAGACGGGGAGGACGACGCAAUGGCAGUGGAUGAGGGGAGGGGAUGUGCCUGUAUGCGUGCGCCGCAGAGCGUGGCGGCCGACCAUCACGGGCGGAGCCGCUGCAGCCUCUCUUCUCCUCUUCUCGAAGAGGAACUGAGAUUAGACUAGAGCUACUCCCGCUGUUGUUACCUCCUUACUCUUGAUGAUUACACCUUGAUUAAAGACUGAUCACCCGAUAAUAGGAUGAUGCUCUGUUUUCCUCUUAAUCUUUCAGUCCGUUCCAACUGUGAGCUCUCACAUAAACGAGUAGAUUCUUCUUUCCAAUCAGGUAAUUUAUGGCAUUCAAUCUUGUGUGCACAGCUAUCUCACUGCACAUGAUUGACAUUCAUGUAGAUGGUUUUUAAUCAUUUCUGAAGAUACUCUUAUUCCUUGUUGUAGCGAAGAUAUUCUUAUUCCUUGGUGUAGUUUUCCGUUACAGAAUAUUUCAGAAUUAGCGUGGGUGUGAGAUGGAUCAGUGUCACUUCGGGUUCAUCAGGCUGAUCGUGCUCAUCUAUCAUCUGCUCUUUGUUGCUGAGCUUGAAAUAUACUCAACAUGAUACACGUCAGCUGCCUCCAGUUCAAGAAUUACAAGAUGCAAGAAGAACUGAAAUCAUGCUUCGAGCAAACUUUGAUCAAUGAUGUAGUGCUAGCAUUUACAUUAAAUUUCCGCUGCAGCUGAAACAAAAGAGUGCUGGAACGGAGAACAACUUCACCUCAUGUUCACACUGUCAGCUAGCUUUAGUAGAAAUAUCUGAAGGUUCUGUGAUAAUUUUGUCAUCCUUUGCAAGCUACAAAAUGAAGCAGAUGAUAUUGAAUAUUUCGGAGAAGCUGCUGCAUUGGCUAUUUGACUAGGUACAGAACAAGUGCCAGUAGCUUACUUUUGUCAUUUAGCAGCCAUAGAAGAUCAGUUCUGGUUUUCUCUAAGAAUGCAUUAGUAGGUACUGUCUAUUUAAUACCUUUGAAAUCAUGAAUUCAUAUAGCUGCCUCUAAGUUCCCUUAUAUCCCUAGAGUAGCACGGACUCGAAAUGGAGAUCAUGAGAAAAUUUUACAAAGUCCACACAGAAAAUGUAUUGUUAAGUUGCUAAAUACAAAAUAAUUGCAGGUAAUUCGUCUUUAAGCAUUUAAUCAGCCACCUCGAAAAAACAUUUAAUCAGUUA